GUGUUGUAUGAAAGGAGAGAAGGUUAGUACUCCGCUUGACAAGGAUGGAAGAGGCCCUCGGACCUAACAACAUGCGUACAGUUAAGGUAUUGCCGCCUACUUUGUGGCAUCUAACCAUAAUUUAAU
rnacentral:ncRNA from 1 species